rnacentral:lncRNA from 1 species
GCCAUUCUGAGCUUGGGUCCCACUGCCCUAGGUUGUCUCCAAGAUCACAGACUCCUUGCCAAGCCAAUCACACACUUCCAUCUCCAACAUCUGCUGUGCCUACACUCAGACUAACUCAUUAUAAUCAUUUUGAAUCAGGGUAUUUCUGAUUACUCUUCAUGCAGUUUUGGGGAGAGUCUGGUGCUCAAAAGGAGAAAAAUCUUAUAGCAAAGUAGCACUUGCUAGGGGGCGGGCAAAGUGGUCCUGGAGACCCCUUCUUGGAAGUCCAAGGCAGUAACUGCCGCUGGGGUCCAGACGAUGAGAAUUCAGGGCUGGGGCAGGGAGAGGAGACAGGUCUUAGAUAAAAGGUGAGACUUGUGAAAAGUUUGCUGUAUGAGUAAAUGGAAAGUAGGAGUGCCAUGGCCUGGGAAUCAGGACUUCUGAGUCCCACCAUCAAUUAUCUAUGUGACUUUGGACCUGGCCUUCUGGUACAGACUGGACUAGAUAACCUACCUCUGAACUCCUCCCAGCUCUGUUGAUCCAUGGGCCUUGGAUUCUAUUGCAGAAAGGGUUGGGAGGGGACUGGUCAAGUUUGGGCUUCUGGGACCCUCGGAGAGGAGGGAGAAUGGGUCAGGGGAUGAGGGCUUGGAGUGGGAGUUUGGUGUCUUAGUUCAGGGGUCCCUGGAGGGUAAGUGAAGUCAUGUGCUCAGAGAGCCUGUCAUUGCCCCUGGGGGCCACUGUGGGACAGCCCCCUUCUCAGUCUCUGCAGAAAGGCUCUGGGGAGAUGAGGCUUUUUGGAAAGAGGAACUUUGUCAUUUGAAAUGAACCAGAAAUGGGCAGGUGGCCGAGGCAGGGCUUCCUGACCUUGGUUAUGCCGUAAGCUCUCCUAGAAAAUGAAACUUUUUGCAACCACUGAAUUAUUUGGGCCAUUCAGAAUUACAUGGCUACAGAUCACCAAGAAAAUUACUGGACGACGAGAGAUGGUGUCUGAGCUCCCUGGGGGCAGGGACGGAGUUUUACUCCUCUGUUCCCCCAGUACACCCCCUGCCUCUCCCCAGCAGGUGCCCCAUAAGUGGUUGUCGACCCAAGUCAAGUGUCCACAUGGGUGAUUCUGAAACAUGGCUGAUCUGAGGAGCUGGGGAUCCACUGUGCCCUUCCCACCUGGUCCUUGCAUUUUACCGCUCCAGCACCCGCUCCCCCGACCCCCAUACAGCAUGGGAAGCCCCUCAUCCAAAAUUCCUUUCUCACUGGGUGGAGGUGGACACUCCUGGGUCUGGGACUUGGCUCUCUUGUUCCAAUGAGACAGACAUCCGGGGAGCACUUCCUGUGGGGGGGGUGUGUGUGUCAGACUUGAGACUGCUGUCUGUCAGGCAGCAGGCAGUUUAGAGGGAAGUGAGGAAUGAGGCUGAAGUAGAAACGAUCAUACACAAGAUGGGAUCAGUUCCCAAAGGAGGUGUGGGCAGGGGGUUCAGUGGCGGAAGGACCACUGGGGCUUGCAAGAGGACAUGUUCACAAAGAGGGAGAGAGGGAGUCCUGACUAGGGUGGGGAGGCUUGAUCAAGGCCUUGAGGGUAGGAUGAGACCCCUGAGGGUGGAGGGGAGGAAGGGGGAGUGAGGAGCAGAGGAGGAGUUGUGAUUUCCCCCCAGACUUUCAUGUUAACAUUUUUUCAUCUCUGAAACUGGAACCCAUUAGCACUGUCCUUCCAGGCCUUCUCUGGCCUGAUUAUAGUUUGCUUGUGGGUGAAGGAGGAAUCUGAGGCAGAGAAGGGAGACAGCUCUGAGACUGGAUCUGCGAGAUGCCAUCAGACAUUAGUGCAUCUACUAGAAUGCAGGCUCCAGGAGGGCAAAGGCCUGGGUCUGGGCCUGCACUGCUGUAUCCCCAGCGGGAACUUGGCUUAUAAAGGGGGACGAGGGGUGUGUGUGUGUGUGUGUGUGUGUGUGUGUGUGCGUGUGUGUGCUCCAUCAGUGUUUGUUGGAGAAUGAAUGUCCCACUUGAGAUGCUGUUAGCAGGAACAGGAAAGGGGUGGAAUCCAGGAGGAAGG